ACGACCCAGCAGCAGAAGUGAAGAUGAUGAAUCUGAAGAAGGAGGACUUACUGGCUACCCUCUUGCCAAGAGGUUUUCUCUGGCAAAUCCUUCUGUGCUCCUGCCCUCCAAGCCAAUGCCCCUCAUCCCAAGGAGCUCUUCCAAGCCAAUGAAGAGCUGCAUCGGAGAGCACGUUACUGGGAAAAGUGGCACUGG